UGACGAGUGGCGGACGGGUGAGGAAUGCAUCGGAAUCUGCCUGUUUGUGGGGGAUAACGCAUGGAAACGUGCGCUAAUACCGCAUACGUCCUUUUGUCGGGAGAUGAUUGGAGAAAGUGGGGGACCUUCGGGCCUCACGCGAACAGAUGAGCCGAUGUCGGAUUAACUGGUUGGUGGGGUAAAGGCCUACCAAGGCGACGAUCCGUAGCUGGUCUGAGAGGAUGAUCAGCCACACUGGAACUGAGACACGGUCCAGACUCCUACGGGAGGCAGCAGUGGGGAAUAUUGGACAAUGGGGGCAACCCUGAUCCAGCCAUGCCGCGUGUGUGAAGAAGGCCCUUGGGUUGUAAAGCACUUUUGUUGGGGAAGAAAAGUUUUCGGUGAAUAUCUGGAGACGCUGACGGUACCCAAAGAAUA
rnacentral:rRNA from 1 species